UUUCCUGGGAGUCAGUUUCUGCUCUUUCUGAAGCAGUUUCUGGGACCUGGGAGAGUAGCUGCUUCCUCUCUUCUCUGCUUUCCUCUGACAGGGUUAGCAGAACGUUUAUUCUCCAGAAGCAGUUAAAGGCUUCCAGGACCCCAACAGGCAACUCCUGGGCACUUUCAGCAUCCUGCCAGGGGAGUCGUGCUCAUCAUGUUGGAAGGGGCUUCUCUUCUGUGCUGUGGCCCACUUCAUCAAGUGAAAAAGAGGCACCAAAACAGGACCAUGAAAGAUUUGGGGGACAAGUGGUGUUUCCUUUGACCAACCUGGUGUAAGGUCAAGAUGCGCAAAGACAAAGCAGGAUCUGGCAAGGAAAGAGCGGACUUUGAAAGAAGGCGUAGUAGUCAAGAACAGAAGAGGUGUAUCUGGGAUGGGGAGCCGGUACAAGAAAAAGAGACCCUAACUGGGAAACAGAAGGGAAAAGACAUAGCUGGGUUGUGGGGUGGAUGACAAGAGAAGAAAAGCCCACUGGGCAGGAACAGUCAGUGAGGGCUUGGGAGCAACCAAGCCAACGCAGAUACUUGCUUAGGAGGGAUCUUUACAGCUUCCUCAGAAGAACCACAAACAGCCAUUUUCUCUGAGAAGAAGGGAGAACCUCUCCUUCCUCUUGCUGUAGCCUCCUGUCUUCCCUGAUAGGUCAGAAAAGGUGCCAGAUAAGAUAUUCUGUCUUCUGGUUGUUUGGGGGCUACAUGACUCGGCGUCUUCUUCUUGACCAGGAGCUCCAGGCAGCACUUGGGCCGAGCAGAAACUGGCACUUAACAGCUAGUGGGGUGGGCAGUUGGGCACCCAUCCACCCAAAGACUAAAAGAAAAAGCUUACAAAAUAACAUAUAUAAAUCCUGGAGACACCUGGGGAAAAGAGAGAGCCUGGCAGGUUGGGCAAACACAGCUUACAAGAACAAAAAUUGCCCAGGCACACAGCAGCAGACAGCAAGGGGCUGCCAAAGGGGAAGGUGGGGAGAACUCUCAGCGUCCUUGUUAUCAAAGGCACUGAGGGCUGUUACAUGUCAGAAGGGGGGGGGGAGCCACAAAGAAACAGAAUUUAAACCCACAGCAGCACCCAGUUAAACCCACUACCACUAGGGCUGCUGGUACACUUUUUAAAAUAAUAGUAAAAUAAGCAGUUGGUAAGGAAAAUAAAAAGAGAGCAAGCCAGACACUGGCACAGUCUCUCUGCCACCACUCUCUGCUCUGCUGCAGUCUUCCUCCUCUGAUAUCCUCUAAGAGUGUGGCUCUCUCUGUCGAGCAGUCCCUUAAAUACACUUUGAAACUCCCUCCUUUUGGCUUCUCCCUCCCUCCCCCCUCCCCCCAGCCAGUGAGAACACAGUGGCCCCUGAGGACACUUGAUUUUGUAUGAUGACAAGCCAACCAAGGAACAAGGAGAUCACAAGCCAAUUGGAAGGCAAUGCCAGAAAACCAACAAGAAAGGGGAAAACACUAAAACAGCCCUCCAAAAUGGCACCCACAAUCGCUGCUCGAAAAAGCAAACCCACUUGCCGCAAAACUGGUUGGUUCUGGGUUGAUCUCAAAGAAGACCCCUUUUUGUAGGGUGUUCUCUGGUGAGAAUGAACUGCUUGAAAUGCCCUUUUUCACAGCGAACCUUUUCCUGGGUGUUCUGCACAUCCCUAGUUAAAACUAAAAGUCAUUAAGAAAAUAAGUCAUUUAAGUAGCAGGUCCACAGAUGUAAUGCUGAAAGUGGUGAGUGAGAGUCCUAGAAAGAGGGACAGUUUUCCCAGUGUCGAAGUACUGUAGACCUUUUCUGCUUCAUCAUUUCAGCUGAUAUGUUAAAUUGUAAGGACCAGGCUGCCCAUAUACUACUUCCCUGCCCUGAGGAAAAUCCCAUUAUCCACUUCAAAAUGAAAUUUGACACCAUUGAAUAGCACUAGUUCAGAAAUAAGAAUAGUCUAUAUAUUAACUUUGGUAUUUCAGGAGAUAAUGAUGACAGGCUGGCAUUUCAGGAGGACCUCCCCACUUCUGCAGCCAGAACCAGGACAGUCCCACCCACCCCCUUCUGCAGCCGGACCAACUUCAGUCCUGACCUCCUUCUGUAGCCAGCCCCGGGAUGGUCCCACACACCCCUUCUGCAGCCAGCCCCGGGACAAUCCCGCACCCCCCUUCUGCAGCCGGCCCCGGGACAGUCCCGCACCCCCCUUCUGCAGCCGGCCCCGGGACAGUCCCGCACCCCCCUUCUGCAGCCGGCCCCGGGACAGUCCCGCACCCCCCUUCUGCAGCUGGCCCCGGGACAGUCCCGCACCCCCCUUCUGCAGCCGGAACCGGGGCUGUCCCACACCCCCCUUCUGCAGCCGGAACCGGGGCUGUCCCGCACCCCCCUUCUGCAGCCGGAACCGGGGCUGUCCCGCACCCCCCUUCUGCAGCCGGAACCGGGGCUGUCCCGCACCCCCCUUCUGCAGCCGGAACCGGGGCUGUCCCGCACCCCCCUUCUGCAGCCGGAACCGGGGCUGUCCCGCACCCCCCUUCUGCAGCCGGAACCGGGGCUGUCCCGCACCCCCCUUCUGCAGCCGGAACCGGGGCUGUCCCGCACCCCCCUUCUGCAGCCGGAACCGGGGCUGUCCCGCACCCCCCUUCUCCAGCCGGAACCGGGGCUGUCCCGCACCCCCCUUCUCCAGCCAGCCCCGGGACAAUGCCACACCCCCACUUCUGCACCCCCCCUGCUCUGGGCCAGUCCUGCCUCCUUCCUGCAACUGGCCACAGUUUAGUCCUGCCCCCCGCCCUUGAUUUCCCUCAGGGUAGGGAUUAAAUGGCUCACUGAGAAACGAGGAGAACUCCUGUAGAAGUAACUACAGCCAGUGAAUGCAAGGGAAAUGCAGAAUCCCAGGAGGAUGGGGCAGCUCUAGAUGGAGCAUCCCAAGAGUGGAAAAUGCUGUUCAACACUGUUUUACCCAAGGACUUGCCUCACACCUGAACCAUGGUUAAAGUCAGUAUCAGUUACUGGUUUUGUAUUUUUGUUUUUGAAUUGCUCAGUUCCUUUCCCCGUUUCCCCCAAUUUGGGUGCAAAUUCAUGGGUAGACAUGUGCACGGACCGGUUCGGAGGCCAUUCUAAAGGCCUCCAGACUGGUCCGGACACACGUGGUUUUGGUUCGGGUGGGAGGUCCUAACAAAGUACGGGGGGGGGCUUUACUUA